UACAGAGGUCUCAAGCGUUGUUCGGAUUCAUUGGGCGUAAAGGGUGUGUAGGUGGCGCCGUAAGUCGGGGUGUGAAAUUUCGGAGCUUAACUCCGAAACUGCAUUCGAUACUGCGGUGCUUGAGGACUUGGAGAGGAGACUGGAAUUCAUGGUGUAGCAGUGAAAUGCGUAGAGAUCAUGAGGAAGACCAGUGGCGAAGGCGGGUCUCUGGACAGUUCCUGACACUGAGACACGAAGGCCAGGGGAGCAAACGGG
rnacentral:rRNA from 1 species